UGGGGAAUUUUGGACAAUGGGCGAAAGCCUGAUCCAGCCAUGCCGCGUGAGUGAAGAAGGCCUUCGGGUUGUAAAGCCCUUUCGGCGGGGAAGAAAUCGCAUUCUCUAAUACAGGAUGUGGAUGACGGUACCCGAAUAAGAAGCACCGGCUAACUACGUGCCAGCAGCCGCGGUAAUACGUAGGGUGCAAGCGUUAAUCGGAAUUACUGGGCGUUAAAGCGUGCGCAGGCGGUUUCGUAAGACAGACGUGAAAUCCCCGGGCUCAACCUGGGAACUGCGUUUGUGACUGCGAGGCUAGAGUUUGGCAGAGGGGGUGGAAUUCCACGUGUAGCAGUGAAAUGCGUAGAGAUGUGGAGGAACACCGAUGGCGAAGGCAGCCCCCUGGGCCAAUACUGACGC
rnacentral:rRNA from 1 species